UACGGGGGGGGCAAGCGUUGUUCGGAAUUACUGGGCGUAAAGGGCUCGUAGGCGGCCAACUAAGUCGGAUGUGAAAUCCCCAGGCUCAACUUGGGAACUGCAUCCGAUACUGGAUGGCUUGAAUUCGGGAGAGGGAUGCAGAAUUCCAGGUGUAGCGGUGAAAUGCGUAGAUAUCGUUUGGAACGCCGAUGGUGAAAACAGGUCGCUGGGGUUGUGCUGACGCUGAGACACGAAAGCCAGGGGAGCGAACGGG
rnacentral:rRNA from 1 species